ensembl:lncRNA
AAGGGUUGGCAGUGGAGUCAUGGGUAUUUUUCUGGAGAUCCUUGCUUGCCUGAGGCCUUUUGAAGGGACACAGCUGUAAUUGCUCUGCCUGAGGAUCUUUGAAAUUCCCUGUAGAAUAAAAACAUGUGCAAGGCAUAUGAAAAGUGCUGUUCAUGGUUUUCAAACCAGCCUAAGUUAGGCAUAGCUUCCUUUUCUGGAUAAAGUAAUCACUAGUGAAUCCACUGGUACCAUAGAUCUGAUGUUGAAAUAGAUUUUUCUUGCUUGAAGGUUGAAGUGAUAUCUAAUUUUUAAGACCGAACUCGAAGAAACUUGUCAACCUCAAAGACGACUUGCAAGAGCUCUUGGAUGUGAACAAGAAAGCUCUAAGGAAUGAAAACCAUGUGCAAUAUUUCUGCUGCUACGGUAUGAAGUCUCAUUGGAAUGGUUUUUUCUGAACUUUCCAUGCCAGAACUAGUACAGCAAACACUUGCUGAGUUAAGAUCUCCAAUGGACUUGUGAAACCAUAAACUCACAAAAUGGGAAAAAUAUACAUAUUUUUUCAAUGAAGUCCUCCCAGUGCCCGUUUGGUUAUCUGUUAUGUUAAUAUGUAAUGGGCAAGAUCUAUAGAAACAGCAUUGCCACUAACAUACCUGGAUAUGUGGCUUUUGAAAUACAUUAUAAAGUCAAUAAAAACUUAAAAAAGGAAAGUCAAGAAAAAAUGACUUAAAUCUGCUUCCUAGGAAAUAAGGUAAGGAAGAAAAAAGAAAAACACAUUCCAAAGAACUAUUAUCACAGUAAAAGGAACUCUGUGCAGGCAAGCUGGAGGGCGUUUUAUUUGCAUUCUUGGAGAUAUAAGCACUAAUCAAGUCUGAAAUCUGUAAGACUCUAUCAGUAAGCUAGACAGUAGGAAGGGAAAGCAAGUGAGGUCCUCAGAGAUACCUUGAGGCUUUAUUCUAAUAAAAUAGUACCCAGAAAAAUUCUAGGCAAACAUUUGGCUGUGAAAAGAGAUAAAUGAUGAUCAGUGACACUUUGGAUUGCUGUUGAAUUGGCUUAUUAAUGAACUAGAAGAACCUAAGCACAUUGAAAAACCUAGGGAAAUAAUCUGAUUGUCUGUUUCUAUAUCUAUAGUUGUUUUGAGAUAUAGAAUUAAGAAUUCAGCCAACUACUUUCCAUACUGAACGUAUAAAAUUAUCUGGUUUUGGCCAGGCUAGUGGGAUGCGUAUGUCUGGCAUGGCUGCUUGGAAGCUUUUGUACUUUGGUGGAUGUGCAGUGUGAUCUCAGGUGAGAACAAAGGACAAACAAGAUUUGCAUUGCUCCUAUAGCAGCAGAUCUAAAUAAACUGGUAUGAACAGACAAGGCCCUGGAGGUCCCUGUCUUUGGGAUGGGAAUUUCAAAUUCUAGUCUUCAACUGUCCUUAAUCUGCAAAUAUAAGAUUAAAGACUGGAAUCAUCAGGUGCCAACUGUUCUGCUGGAAAGACAGCUCCUCUGGCAGAGGGAAGGACCACCUAGCAAUAAGACAAUGCUGAGACUUCUUGCAGCUCUGCUGUGGCCUGUCCCAUGACAGCAGGAUGCACACUGACAUCCAGACACUCAUCAUAGCUAGUCUAGUCUGGAGAGGUAGACUCAGCCAUCUGCCCUCUCACAGCACACAUGGAGAUGCUGGGGUUUCAAACCAUUUUCAAUUUGUCUUUACUUUCAUGGCAAAUACAAAUAC